CCUACGUGUGGCAGCAGUAGGGAAUUUUGCGCAAUGGGGGAAACCCUGACGCAGCAACGCCGCGUGAAGGAAGAAGGCUUUCUGGUUGUAAACUUCUUUUAAUGGGGAAGAGCAGAAGACGGUACCCCUUGAAUAAGCCACGGCUAACUACGUGCCAGCAGCCGCGGUAAUACGUAGGUGGCAAGCGUUUUCCGGAUUUACUGGGUGUAACGGGCGUGCAGCCGGGGAGACAAGGCAGAUGUGAAAUCCACGGGCUCAACCCGUGAACUGCAUUUGAAACUGUCUCCCUUGAGUGUCGGAGAGGUAAUCGGAAUUCGGUGUGUAGCGGUGAAAUGCGUAGAUAUAAGGAAGAACACCAGUGGCGAAGGCGGAUUACUGGACGAUAACUGACGGUGAGGCGCGAAAGCGUGGGGAGCAAACAGGAUUAGAUACCCUUGUAGUC
rnacentral:rRNA from 1 species